rnacentral:rRNA from 1 species
GGGUCAGUAGGUUGGUCGUGCCACCGGUACGUACUGGUCUCACUGAUUCCUCCUUCCUGAAGAACCGUAAUGCCAUUAAUUUGGUGUUGCGGGGAAACAGGACUGUUACUUUGAGAAAAUUAGAGUGUUUAAAGCAAGCUAACGCUUGAAUACAUUAGCAUGGAAUAACGAAAUAGGACGAUCGAUCCUAUUUUGUUGGUUUCUAGGAUUGACGUA